rfam:Myotis davidii contig11596, whole genome shotgun sequence.
GGUGGUUCUUAGGUGAUGAAUCCUGGAAUCAGGCUCCCUCUUCUUGGUUCAAAGUACGUCACCCAAGAACCGCA